UGCCAGCCGCCGCGGUAAUACGAGUACCUCGAGCGUUAUCCGGAAUUAUUGGGCGUAAAGGGUCCGUAGGUGGUUCUAUUAGUCAGUCGUAAAAGAUCCGAGCUUAACUCGGGGACUGCGAUUGAAACGGUAGAACUUGAGUGUGCGAGAGGUAAACAGAACUCAUGGUGUAGGGGUGAAAUCCGUUGAUAUCAUGGGGAAUACCAAAAGCGAAGGCAGUUUACUGGCGCAUCACUGACACUAAGGGACGAAAGCCUGGGUAGCGAAUGGGAUUAGAUA
rnacentral:rRNA from 1 species